UACGUAGGGUGCAAGCGUUAAUCGGAAUUACUGGGCGUAAAGCGUGCGCAGGCGGCUUUGCAAGACAGAUGUGAAAUCCCCGGGCUUAGCCUGGGAACUACAUUUGUGACUGCAUGGCUGGAGUGCGGCAGAGGGGGAUGGAAUUCCGCGUGUAGCAGUGAAAUGCGUAGAUAUGCGGAGGAACACCGAUGGCGAAGGCAAUCCCCUGGGCCUGCACUGACGCUCAUGCACGAAAGCGUGGGGAGCAAACAGG
rnacentral:rRNA from 1 species